AGCCAAUCAGGUUGACUCUUUGCUACGUCAUCACUGCUCUGGCACAACAACAGCCUGUCUCUAUUUGUUUCCUGUUAGCGUUAGCAUCAGAGACGGAGCUACACAUUAAUUGGUCGUGUGACAUGUUUAUCUGACGUUCAGUGUUGACAUUAGGUGAAUGUUGUCUGUGUCUUGGCGUUAAUACACGCAGAAGGCAGAACUGCCAACGCGCUGUUAGCCGCUCGGCUGCUAGCUAACCGUAGCUAACAUCUGCGAUCCAGCAGAGGAAGAUGGGGUCCAUCCUGAGCCGCAGGAUCGCUGGAGUGGAGGAUAUCGAUAUCCAGGCCAACUCGGCCUAUCGUUUCCCACCGAAAUCUGGGAAUUAUUUUGCGAGCCACUUCUUCAUGGGAGGAGAGAAAUUUGACACACCACAUCCAGAGGGAUACCUCUUUGGAGAAAAUAUGGACCUGAAUUUUCUUGGAAACAGGCCUGUACAGUUUCCAUAUGUGACACCUGCACCCCACGAACCUGUGAAAACCCUGAGGAGUCUGGUCAACAUCAGGAAGGACUCCCUGCGCUUAGUCAGAUACAAGGACGACUCUGACACAGUGGUUGAAGAAGGAGAGAAACCAAAGGUUCAGUACGGUGUGGAGUUCACCUUUGAUGCUGAUGCCCGGGUGGCCAUCACUCUCUACUGCCAGGCGUUUGAGGAGUUCUCCAAUGGGAUGGCAGUGUACAGCCCAAAGAAUCCCUCAUUGGCCUCUGAAACUGUGCAUUACAAGCGAGGAGUGAGCCAGCAGUUCUCCAUGCCGUCUUACAAAAUAGACUUCAGCGAGUGGAAAGAGGAGGAUCUGAACUUUGACCUGGACCGAGGCGUGUUCCCCAUGGUGAUCCAGGCUGUGGUUGACGAAGGAGACGGUGGGUCCACAGAGCUUCCAGAUAGUUUCUAUUGCCUCGGACAUGCUCACGUGCUCCUUGCAGCCUUUGAAAAACACGUCGAUGGCAGUUUCUCCGUCAAGCCUCUGAAGCAGAAACAAAUCGUGGACCGUGUGAGCUAUCUUUUACAAGAGAUCUAUGGGAUUGAGAACAAAAACAACCAAGAAACAAAGCCAUCAGAUGAUGAGAACAGCGACAACAGCAACGAGUGUGUCGUGUGUCUGUCUGACCUGCGGGACACUCUCAUCCUGCCCUGCAGACAUCUGUGUCUGUGCAACUCCUGCGCAGACACUCUUCGCUACCAGGCCAACAACUGUCCCAUCUGCAGGCUUCCUUUCAGAGCUUUGCUGCAGAUCAGAGCAGUAAGGAAAAAGCCCGGCGCUCUCUCCCCUGUGUCCUUCAGCCCCGUUCUGGCUCAGACUAUGGACCACGAUGAGCACUCAGGCACAGACUCGGUCCCUCCCGGCUUCGAACCCAUCUCUCUGUUGGAGGCUCUGAACGGGAUGCGGUCGGUGUCUCCUGCCAUCCCAUCUGCCCCCCUCUACGAUGACAUCAACUUCUCAGGGGGUGAAAACAGACAGUUGAGCUCCCCCGAGCAUCUGAGUGACGGAGGUCUGCAGAAAGGCAAAGUCAGCAAGUCACCUGACAGCACCCUCAGGUCUCCGUCCUCCCCCAUCCAGGAGGAAGACGAGGAGAAGUUGUCCGAGAUGUCCGACGCCCAGCCACACACUCUUCUGUCCAGCAGCCCUGCCCCCACAGACGCCACAGCGACCGAGGACGCGGCUGAGUCCCUGUCUCCAGAUGACGAGGACAGGACGCCCUCUAGAGGAGACAUCCUUCAGGACUGCAGCAGUGAGCACAGCAGCUUGACCAAAACAGAGAGUGACCCAGCAGGCGACUUAUCUCUGCCAGGUGAGAAAUCCUCCAAUGGAACAAAUGAGGAAAAUCUUCCAACUAACCAGCUUGAUGAAUGAAAGCCAUCACAACUACAAAUUACCUUGUUCUUGCACAUUUUUUUCUUCUUUCUUUUCUUUUUCUAUUUCGAUUCUCUCCUUAAAAUCUUGACUAAAUCUGUAAUUUGUCUGUGCUUUGCGUUUAACCUGUGUGCUCUGGUGCUUCUCUGUUUCCUAACACUCUUCUCCUGUUUCCGACCAUCCUGUUUCCCUUCACACUGCCUCACUUUGGGCAGCUUUAGGUCCUGAUGCCUGCUCUAUUGGUAUGGAGGAAUAAGUGUGGGUCAUCCGAGUCAACAGAAAGCCUGAAAAGUCAGAGCACAAACUGCUCCAGCCAGCCUCUACUGUGUCCUGGUAGCAGCCUUCAUCUGGAGGAUGAGCACCUCAACCCGUGACUCUUGAUUCAGCAUUUUCUUCCUCAUCCAUCAGAACAGAUUUAUGCUUUACAAAGAUCAUUCAGCCCUUCUAUCCCUUGUCCCCAUCAAGCCUACAGUACAUGUGUGGUCGGAGCUGUCGAAGGCCAUGAAAGGAAGCUCAGCAGGACGAGAGAGGACUCUGUUUGAAAAAAAUUUAACUCCCACAAAGAUGCUCCCUUUGACUAAUGUUGAUAAAAAAAACAUUGUUCCCCCUGCUCCAGAACAUUUCAUUAACUGUUGGAUGGUGGUAAGUUGUGUGUGUAAGUUGUGUGGGCCGGAGUAGUUUUGUAGUAAUGAAGAGAGAUAUUUCACUACCAGUCAUGGUGGUGCUUUUAAGCACACUUAAAGAUCAAUUAACUCUGAAUCAGUUGCUUGAAACUAAACGCAGAAGAGUUUAUGAACUACGUUUGUUGUGUGGAUAUUGAUCCAUUGACAUACAUGAAUAACUUUCUAACUUGUUUUUCCAGAGAGUUUGAUUUGGGUUAUGACCAGAAAUCUGAAAACAUAUAAUUUAUACGUCUGUGUGUCCAUUUGAGGUGAUUUUACACUCCAACAAAAUCAUUUAUAAUCCAUUCCUUUAACAAGAGUUUAUAAUGAGAUUAGUUUAAGUGUCAAUGCAGUCUCAAACAUCUGUACAUGUCCUGUUCUUAUUUCAAAUGAUGUAAUAUCUAUGUACAACUACUAUAACUGUGUAGUUACCAAAUCAUUUACUAUAUUACUUAUAAAGAAUCUGAUAACAAAGGUAAUAAUAGAGCUAGAUUCAAUGCACAUUAUUUAAGACUCAAAUCUAUACAGACUUACAUCCUGAACAGCUGAACUCAAAGAUAGCUAAAUCCUGCAACAAGCAUAAACCACAUGCUCCAGCUACAUGCUAAGCUAACACAGUAUGGCACAGUGUGCUUGCUGUAGAUGUGGCAGAUCUCUGUACAGUCUCUUCGUGGCAUCGCCAGUGUCUGCUUCUGUGACGUAGCUGCAACAAAAAGGGGGUCAGGUGCUCGUGUUUCUUACCUUGGUCCUGUAUGUAUAGCGCCAUGCAUAUAGAUCUAUGUGCCUUGACUUGAUAUGGCUGCCUGCUUGUUGCAUUGGACAUCCGUGUUUGUGUAGAUGCUACAAUACACAACCGUCUCCAGCUGUAGACAGGAUUUUUGAUGCUAAUGUACAGAGCCUUUUUUUCUAUCGCAAACCUCAUGCUACUGGAAAAAGUGUUUCUUCUUUUUGUUAUUGCAAUAUUAAAUUGAUCUGUUUGUUUACUAUGUUAUGAUCAUGUAUCAGAUAUGCAUUUAAUCUUAAUGUUUGAGUUGUUUUAUUGGAAGGAACACAUCCGAUGCACUACAUGCAAACUUUGCAUUUCAAGACUUGGGCUAGCAUAUUUGCAUGUGCAUUUUGAAGAGAUUUGAAAGUCUCUGCUUUUUAGUGAAACGGUUCUUAAGUCUGCCCCCGGUCCUCUUCUGUGCCAUUUCAACUUGAUACUGUGCCUUCCUGUUCCUGUUCUGACCAUGACUGACCUGGUAUCCAGGAUCACUCCACAGUAGGUGGUUUGUGGCUCUAUGUAAAAUCAGUACCUGUCCAUCCUUGUGUGUAUAGCAGCAUGUGUAUAACAAUAAAGAACACAUUUAGUACUUCAA